GCCUGAGUGGCUCAGUUGGUUAAGCACCUGACUCUUGGUCUCGGCUCAGGUCAUGAUCUCACGGUUCGUGGAUUCGAGCCCCACAUCAGGCU
rnacentral:tRNA from 1 species